AGGUGUCCGAUCCCUUGCCUCCCUCAUCUAUCUACAAUGCAUCCACGGUGGAAAAUUGGCAAAAAAAACGCACAGAGUUAGUCGAUGCUUAUUCCUUAGAUACCGUCAUUAUUUCUUCUCCGACAAAAAAAGUUGACGACCCGUAGGCCUUCCACCUCCACGCGGCAUUGCUCCGUCAGGCUUUCGCCCAUUGCGGAAAAUUUCCCACUGUUGCCUCCCGUAGGAGUCUGGGCCGUGUCUCAGUCCCAGUGUGGCUGAUCAUCCUCUCGGACCAGCUACUGAUCAUCGCCUUGAGAUCGGAAGAGAG